rnacentral:rRNA from 1 species
UGGGUUUUGGGGCUCCGUCCUUUAUACAUUUAAGUCGAGCGGUAGAGAGAAGCUUGCUUCUCUUGAGAGCGGCGGACGGGUGAGUAAUGCCUAGGAAUCUGCCUGGUAGUGGGGGAUAACGUCCGGAAACGGACGCUAAUACCGCAUACGUCCUACGGGAGAAAGCAGGGGACCUUCGGGCCUUGCGCUAUCAGAUGAGCCUAGGUCGGAUUAGCUAGUUGGUGAGGUAAUGGCUCACCAAGGCGACGAUCCGUAACUGGUCUGAGAGGAUGAUCAGUCACACUGGAACUGAGACACGGUCCAGACUCCUACGGGAGGCAGCAGUGGGGAAUAUUGGACAAUGGGCGAAAGCCUGAUCCAGCCAUGCCGCGUGUGUGAAGAAGGUCUUCGGAUUGUAAAGCACUUUAAGUUGGGAGGAAGGGCAGUUGCCUAAUACGUAACUGUUUUGACGUUACCGACAGAAUAAGCACCGGCUAACUCUGUGCCAGCAGCCGCGGUA